AAGGUUUGGUCCUAGCCUUGAAGUCAGUUCUUACUUAAUAUACACAUGCAAGUUUCCGCACCCCUGUGAAAACGCCCUCAAACUUCCCCUUAGGAAACAGGAGCUGGUAUCAGGCACAUUCUUUUGCCCAAGACACCUAGCCUCGCCACACCCACAAGGGACUUCAGCAGUGAUUAACAUUGAGCAUAAGCGACAGCUUGACUCAGUUAAAUUAAUUAGGGCCGGCUAAUCUGGUGCCAGCCGCCGCGGUUACACCACUGUGGCCCAAAUUGACUUUUACCGGCGUAAAGCGUGAUUUAAGUACACUAACUUCUUAGAGCUAAAUUUAAACUAAGCUGUGACACGCUUGUUAACUAAGAAACCCACAAACGAAAGUUGCUCCAAUUAACCCAACUUGAACUCACGACAACUGAGGAACAAACUGGGAUUAGAUACCCCACUAUGCUCAGUCGUAAACUUUUCUCUACUCAUCACCCCGCCCGGGAACUACGAGCCAAGCUUAAAACCCAAAGGACUUGACGGUACCCCAUAUCCCCCUAGAGGAGCCUGUCCUAUAAUCGAUAACCCCCGUUAAACCUCACCAUUUUUAGCAUAUUUCAGCCUGUAUACCUCCGUCGUCAGCUUACCACGUGAGCGUUAGUGAGCUUAAUGUUUAUUCAACUAAACGUCAGGUCAAGGUGCAACAUAUGAAAUGGGAAGAGAUGGGCUACACUCUCUAAUUUAGACAAUACGAAAGACUAUUUAUGAAAUCUAGUCAGAAGGCGGAUUUAGAAGUAAAACGGAGCCAGAAUAUCCUUUUAAACUCGGCACUGGGGUGUGUACACACCGCCCGUCACCCUCCUCAAUGCUACAAAAAGUUCUUAACACUCACCAGCAAGACAGAAGAGGCAAGUCGUAACAUGGUAAGUAUACCGGAAGGUGUGCUUGGAAA
rnacentral:ncRNA from 1 species